rnacentral:rRNA from 1 species
CCUACGGGAGGCAGCAGUCGAGAAUCUUGGGCAAUGCACGAAAGUGUGACCCAGCGACGCCGCGUGGAGGAUGAAGGCCCUUGGGUCGUAAACUCCUUUUGCGAGAGAAGAACGCACCUUUUAGGUGCUUGACGGUACCUCGCGAAUAAGCCACGGCUAACUACGUGCCAGCAGCCGCGGUAAUACGUAGGUGGCAAGCGUUGUCCGGAUUUACUGGGCGUAAAGCGUAUGCAGGCGGACCUUUAAGUAGGAAGUGAAAGGUUGGAGCUCAACUCUAACACUGCUCCCUAUACUGGAGGUCUUGAGUGCCGGAGAGGAAGAUGGAACGGGUCGUGUAGCGGUGAAAUGCGUUGAGAUGACUCGGAACACCAAUGGCGAAAGCAAUCUUCUGGACGGAAACUGACGCUGAGAUACGAAAGCCAAGGGAGCGAACAGGAUUAGAUACCCUGGUAGUCUUGGCCAUAAACGAUGUUCACUAGGUGUCGGGGGUUACCCUCGGUGCCGCAGCUAACGCAUUAAGUGAACCGCCUGGGGACUACGGCCGCAAGGUUGAAACUCAAAGGAAUUGGCGGGGGCCCGCACAAGCGGUGGAGCAUGUGGCUUAAUUCGAUGCAACGCGAAGAACCUUACCAGGGCUUGACAUGUAGCUGCAAGCUCCCGAAAAGGAGUCUCCUUCGAGGGUGCUACACAGGUGGUGCAUGGCUGUCGUCAGCUCGUGUUGUGAAAUGUUGGGUUAAGUCCCGCAACGAGCGCAACCCUCAUGUCUUGUUACCAGCGAGUCAAGUCGGGAACUCGAGACAAACUGCCUCUGUAAGAGGAGGAGGGUGGGGGAUGACGUCAAGUCAUCAUGCCCCUUACGCCCUGGGCUGCACACAUGCUACAAUGGCCGGUACAAGAGAUGCCACAGCGCGAGCUCAAGCAAAUCUCAAAAGCUGGUCUUCAGUUCGGAUUGGAGUCUGCACUCGACUCAUGAGUCGAUCGCUAGUACGCGUCAGCAUACCGCGGUGAAUACGGUUCCCGG